GAGCGGUAACAGGUGUAGCAAUACAUGCUGACGAGCGGCGAACGGGUGAGUAAUGCUUUGGAAUCUUCCCAGUAGUGGGGAAUAACCAGUCGAAAGAUUGGCUAAUACCGCAUACGUCUGAAAAGGGAGAGCGGGGGCUCGUAAGACCUCGCGCUAUUGGAUGAGCCAAAGUCGGAUUAGCUAGUUGGUGGGGUAAUGGCCUACCAAGGCGACAAUCCGUAGCUGGUCUGAGAGGACGACCAGCCACACCGGAACUGAGACACGGUCCGGACUCCUACGGGAGGCAGCAGUGGGGAAUAUUGGACAAUGGGGGAAACCCUGAUCCAGCGACGCCGCGUGUGUGAAGAAGGCCUGCGGGUUGUAAAGCACUUUUAGUGGGGACAAAAAGCUACGGACUAAUACUCUGUGGUCUUGAUUUAACCCAAAGAAAAAGCACCGGCUAACUCUGUG
rnacentral:rRNA from 1 species